GAUGAACGCUGGCGGCGUGCCUAAUACAUGCAAGUCGAGCGAAUGGAUUAAGAGCUUGCUCUUAUGAAGUUAGCGGCGGAGGGGUGAGUAACACGUGGGUAACCUGCCCAUAAGACUGGGAAAACUUCGGAAAAACGGGGCUAAUACCGGAUCACAUUUUGAACCGAUCGGUUCGACAUUGAAAGGCGACUUCGGCUGGAACUUAUGGAUGGUCCCGCGUCGCAUUAGGUAGUUGGUGAGGUAACGGCGCACCAAGGCAACGACGCGUAGCCGGCCUGAGAGGGGGAUCGGCCACACUGGGACUGAGAGACGGCCCAGACUCCUACGGGAGGCAGCAGGAGGGAAUCUUCCGCAAUGGACGAAAGUCUGACGGAGCAACGCCGGGUGAGUGAUGAAGGCUUUCGGGUCGUAAAACUCUGUUGUUAGGGAAGAACAAGUGCUAGUUGAAUAAGCUGGCACCUUGACGGUACCUAACCAGAAAGCCACGGCUAACUACGUGCCAGCCGCCGCGGUAA
rnacentral:rRNA from 1 species